UUGACCUCGGAUCAGGUAGGGAUACCCGCUGAACUUAAGCAUAUCAAUAAGCGGAGGAAAAGAAACCAACAGGGAUUGCCCUAGUAACGGCGAGUGAAGCGGCAACAGCUCAAAUUUGAAAUCUGGCGUCUUUGGCGUCCGAGUUGUAAUUUGCAGAGGGCGCUUUGGCAUCGGCAGCGGUCCAAGUUCCUUGGAACAGGACGUCACAGAGGGUGAGAAUCCCGUACGUGAUCGCUAGCCUUUACCGUGUAAAGCCCCUUCGACGAGUCGAGUUGUUUGGGAAUGCAGCUCUAAAUGGGAGGUAAAUUUCUUCUAAAGCUAAAUACUGGCCAGAGACCGAUAGCGCACAAGUAGAGUGAUCGAAAGAUGAAAAGCACUUUGGAAAGAGAGUUAAAAAGCACGUGAAAUUGUUGAAAGGGAAGCGCUUGCAGCCAGACUUGCCUGUAGUUGCUCAUCCGGGUUUCUACCCGGUGCACUCUUCUAUAGGCAGGCCAGCAUCAGUUUGGGCGGUUGGAUAAAGGUCUCUGUCAUGUACCUCUCUUCGGGGAGAACUUAUAGGGGAGACGACAUGCAACC
rnacentral:rRNA from 1 species